UUGUGCUCACUUCAGCUUCACAUAUACUAAAAAAGUGAAAUGAUACAGAGAAGAGUGGCAGGGUCCCUGCAAGAGGAUAACACAAAAAUUCACGAAGCAUUCCAUAUCAAA
ensembl:snRNA U6 U6 spliceosomal RNA